rnacentral:pre_miRNA from 1 species
CUGUGGACCACAUUCUUCAAUUUGUAGAUUAUGAACAAAGAAGAAUUUGGUCCAUAGAG